UCCUACGGGAGGCAGCAGUAAGGAAUAUUGGUCAAUGGACGGAAGUCUGAACCAGCCAUCCCGCGUGCAGGAUGAAGGUCCUAUGGAUUGUAAACUGCUUUUAGCAGAGAAGAAAAGCAUUCAUUGAUGAGUGUCUGACGGUAUCUGCGGAAUAAGCACCGGCUAACUCCGUGCCAGCAGCCGCGGUAAUACGGAGGGUGCAAGCGUUAUCCGGAAUCACUGGGUUUAAAGGGUGCGUAGGCGGAGAAUUAAGUCAGUGGUGAAAGCCUGUCGCUUAACGAUAGAACUGCCAUUGAUACUGAUUUUCUUGAAUUGGGUUGAGGUUAGCGGAAUGUGACAUGUAGCGGUGAAAUGCAUAGAUAUGUCAUGGAACACCAAUUGCGAAGGCAGCUAGCUGGGCCUUGAUUGACGCUGAGGCACGAAAGCGUGGGUAGCGAACAGGAUUAGAUACCCUGGUAGUCCACGCCCUAAACGAUGCUAACUCGAUGUUUGGGCGUAAGUUUGAGCAUCCAAGGGAAACCGAUAAGUUAGCCACCUGGGGAGUACGACCGCAAGGUUGAAACUCAAAUGAAUUGACGG
rnacentral:rRNA from 1 species